UAGGCGAUAUGCCCAAGGUUAGAAGAUAUUUUCCCCUUUCUUUGAUUUAUAUCCCUGCCUCUGCUACUACUGGACACAUAUUCUCUCUCUCUCGAUCUCUCAGAUUUUUUUUUUCUUCCAUUCGAUUCAUUGUCAUAAUAUUUAAUCGAAUAUCUGUUCUCAACAAGAUUAAUCAGAGUUAUCUUUCCUAAACCUAUAUCUCAGAAACAAACCGAUCUUCAGAAACCAAACCCAAUCUUUCAAUAAUCCAUUUGAACCCUAGAAGUUUGAUUUUCUCCGACAUGAUCCCUAGAAAACGAAAUCUCUAUACUCUAUGCACGACCUAUUGCUGACUAGUCCAAGAAUAUGAGUUUAUAAAACCCUAGAUUCUUCGUAAGUGCUGAUGCUAUGAGUCUGAUUUUUAUAUAUAUAGUAAUUUGUUUUUUCAAGAAUCCUCAAUUUUUAUGCUUCUUCAUUUGAUUUCAUGGAGUUCAAAUAAUGGGUUUGGUUCUAAUUUCAAUUUUAUGAUCUGAGUUGUGAGUUAGGUUACUAUAUUCGUGUGCAAUCUGGUUGUAUUGAUUUUCUUGGGUUUAUUUUUGUUUUGAUUUGGCUUGUGUUGAUAGUAUUCCAUCAUUUAGAUCUAAAAUUUGUUGGAUUUACAAUGAAUUUAGUUUGUGUUUCUUUUGAGAAGAUAUUGAGAAGAUUAGUCAAAAGAAGAUAAGUAGGAAGAAUUAGAUUUUAGGGGGUUCUCAAGCACAACAGUUCCAUGGUGAGCCAUCUAAAUGACAUUGGUAAGAGAUUAGACAGUGAAUCAGUGAAGUGCAACCCACUUUAACAGAAGACAGUGAACCAUUUAUGCUUCCAAGCCGUGUUCCAAGCGUUGUGGAAUACCUUGUCAAGUGGGAGGAAUUAUUAUCUACGCUGCACAUGAGGAUAAGAAUCAGAUUUACCUGUCAUCCGUGAAGCAUCCAACGCAAUUGCAUCAGGGAGCUGAAUUCGGAUUGAUGGGGGAUCAAAUGUUGAGAAACUUGGGGUUGCAAAACAUCCAAACUUUUAUUAAAAUGGUGCUGGCCUUUAUGUUAGCAUCUCUCUUUCCUUGGGAUUGCAUCAAACUUGGAUUUGAUCUUGUAUUGGGUACCUCCAAUGUAGACGAUGGAUUGUGCGGUCACUUAACAAAGGCAAGUGCUUUUACUGUGUUGCAGUAUAGUUGCCGCUCUGGAGAUAUAAGUCACAAUUAAUGGAAGCAUUGAUAAGCAGGAUCUUCGAGCAUUUCUGAAUUGGGAUGAAGUCCAUCUCGAUUUUUCAUUGUCAAGAUGCCCCUCCAACUCAUCCAACUGAUAAGUUGGAGCCUGUAUGAUUCAAUUAUAGUCAGGUACUGGUUCAUUGAGGGUUGGGUUGAAUUCUUGACAAUUGCAGUGUCUAUCAGAAGCACAAGAUAGAUAAACCUAUGGAUAUGGGGCGAAAUGUUAAUUGUAGAGCUUGUCAAAGGUAACCACUUGGUUCUAGAUAUUGAACUGGAACAACCUAAACUCUACAUGGGUGAAGCAAAGUUGGAAUGGCAGAAGUAAUUAAACCGGGAAAAGUUCUAUAUGAACUAUUAAAAUCAGAAGAGGAAGCUAGCUGAAACGUUAGGAUCCAAGUGGAGGAGCAAGGAUGAGCUUAAACGCUUUUAUGAAGCAUAUGAGAAAGACUUCAUUUCUGUUUUUUCUUGUAUCUGCUUUGUUACUUAUGUUAAAAAUAGUAAAAAUGGCAAAGUAACAAAUCUGGAUCUUGGGUGAUUGUUGAUUCUUGAAUUAGUAUAAUAUGUAUACAAAUUAUUCUUCACUAUUAUAUUUGAUUCUAGUUUUGUAUUCUGCUGAAUCCAAAGCUGAUUCAGCUGAAUCAAUUUUUAUGAA